rnacentral:rRNA from 1 species
AGUGAACGCUGGCGGUAGGCCUAACACAUGCAAGUCGAACGGCAGCACAGUAAGAGCUUGCUCUUACGGGUGGCGAGUGGCGGACGGGUGAGGAAUACAUCGGAAUCUACUUUUUCGUGGGGGAUAACGUAGGGAAACUUACGCUAAUACCGCAUACGACCUACGGGUGAAAGCAGGGGAUCUUCGGACCUUGCGCGAUUGAAUGAGCCGAUGUCGGAUUAGCUAGUUGGCGGGGUAAAGGCCCACCAAGGCGACGAUCCGUAGCUGGUCUGAGAGGAUGAUCAGCCACACUGGAACUGAGACACGGUCCAGACUCCUACGGGAGGCAGCAGUGGGGAAUAUUGGACAAUGGGCGCAAGCCUGAUCCAGCCAGACCGCGUGGGUGAAGAAAGCCUUCGGGUUGUAAAGCCCUUUUGUUGGGAAAGAAAAGCAGCAGGUUAAUACCCCGCUGUUCUGACGGUACCCAAAGAAUAAGCACCGGCUAACUUCGUG